UACGGGAGGCAGCAGUGGGGAAUAUUGGACAAUGGGCGCAAGCCUGAUCCAGCAAUGCCGCGUGAGUGAUGAAGGCCUUAGGGUUGUAAAGCUCUUCCAGCGGGGACGAUGAUGACGGUACCCGCAGAAGAAGCCCCGGCUAACUUCGUGCCAGCAGCCGCGGUAAUACGAAGGGGGCUAGCGUUGUUCGGAAUUACUGGGCGUAAAG
rnacentral:rRNA from 1 species